rnacentral:lncRNA from 1 species
GCCCUCCUUGCCAUAGUGACAGCAAGUACCUUUGACGGAGACCUUCUUCACCUUCUUCUUAGAGAUGCCAAUCUGAGGGUUUAUCUUUUUUCUUAGAACCCUUUGUGCCUUUCUUCUUAUUGAUCUUAUCGACAAGAAGAACCAGAGUCUUUUCACCUUUGAAAUGGCUCUUUGCUAUUUUCAACAUGUUUAGCAGCUUUGGCAGGCUGAUGGUCGU